GUGGGGAAUAUUCCGCAAUGGGCGCAAGCCUGACGGAGCAACGCCGCGUGAAUGAAGACGGUCUUCGGAUUGUAAAGUUCUGUCAUUAGGGACGAAGGACUCAUGUAAAUAAUAUGAGGAAUGACGGUACCUAAGGAGGAAGCUCCGGCUAACUACGUGCCAGCAGCCGCGGUAAUACGUAGGGAGCAAGCGUUGUCCGGAAUUACUGGGCGGAAAGGGCGCGUAGGCGGAUAAUUAAGUCAGAUGUGAAAUCUCCAGGCUUAACUUGGAGCGUGGAUUUGAAACUGGUUAUCUUUAGGGCAGGAGAGGAAAGUGGAAUUCCUAGUGUAGCGGUGAAAUGCGUAGAUAUUAGGAGGAACACCAGUGGCGAAGGCGACUUUCUGGACUGAACCUGACGCUGAGGCGCGAAAGCAUGGGGAGCGAACGGGAUUAGAAACCCGGGUAGUCC
rnacentral:rRNA from 1 species